CAGCCCUGGGUUGGAGUUACAUUGGUAACUUUGCUCUAAAUUCCCUCUUAAAUGGAAAAAAAAACAUGGACGGAAGGCAGAGGAGCAUAAAUCUUGCAAGUUGCUUUUCCCGAGAAACGCCAGAACGAGCCCUAAAUGAAGACACCGUGCGCUGCUGGCGGCCGUAUUCUUCUCAUUUCGAUUUCGACAAGUGGUUCCAGCCAGAGAAGCAUUUAGAAGACCCUGGUAAAUUUUUGGAAUGCUCAUGCAAUUUGUACCUCCAACUAAAUAACAAUAUUUCCUGAAGUAACUAAUUCUGUAACUUGGAAAAAAAUCUCUGACUCUACUUACCUCAUGCAGAGGGCCAUGACAUAUGGCUUAAAUGCCCAAGAGUUUAAGUCACGCUACACGUAAGUGGUAAAACUACUCUUUUGUCAUUUUACUCUUCCCUUCCUGCUUAGAAAAAUUUUAAUGUUUAAACCUCUCUAUAAAUUGUAUUUUUUCCCCAGAAAGCAGAGGUCACAGAGAUAAAUGUCAGCUGUCAGAAGAGCUGCAAAUGAAGGCCAUGUUCUUUGAUAAUGGUUUCUGAGAAGAGAGACCAUCAGAGUGAAAUCUGGUAAUCCCGUAUUUCUGAUUUCAUGUCUACUGAGACGCUCAAACUUGAGUGCAGAGCUUGGUAAAGUACUGAUUGCUGAAAGGUAGCUCUGUCUCUUGGGGGAUCUGGAAUGAGACCUAGUAGAAAUUUUCAUUCAAGUUGAAUGGAAAACAUAAAAGAGACUGUUCUAUGGAACUCAGAAGUCUGGCAAUGACGGAUUUAUUCCAUGUGUGAAAGACUGGGAUAAGUGUUCUUCCCAUGGUUGCAUUUUAUUUUUAAAUUUAGCUAUUUCUGAAGAAGAUGAUCCUGAAUUAAUUUAUGGGGAAAUUAUGCUCCUUCUUGCCUAAAUCUAUGGUGUGAAAUGCACCCAUUUCUGAAAGGAUUCUUUUAAUAAUAUUCCCUCAUUUUAUGAGAUUCCAUGGCACCAUAGCAUGACCAGACAAAUUACCUUCUAGACAUAGCCUAAUUUCCCAUCAUCCUAAUUCUUAAAGAUUUUUCAGAUUCUUUUUUCAGUAGGAGAAAUUCUGUAAGAUGAUCAGAUUCAUUAUCUUCCUGAUGAACAAAGUUGUACCUGAACUGUCUUAAAAGUGCUUCUUUUCAUUAAAAAAAAAAAGCUACAGCAAACGGAAGGCAUCUAUUAUAUAACUCCCUGGAGUGGAUCCCUCUCCUGUUAACUCAAAUUUUCAGGAAGCUUGAAUUCCUCCAAUUCCAUUUUAAUGCCUUUUUUUUAAUUUUUUUUUUCUCAUUCUGUUUCAAUGGCAAUGGAGAACAGCUGGUCACCAUCCUCUGUGAUAAUAACCUUCAUAUAGUUGAAACUCGCAUGGUUUUGGACAUGGCACUCGCAAAAACAUCCCCUUGCAAAUGAUGUAGCUUAUUUGGUAUUUCCCCCCUGUAAAUAGCUCGACUCUUCCAGCGACUAUCAAAUUUUGGCUCUGUUCGGUAUAAUGCAAGCAUUUUCUGCCUCGUCUAUUCAGGAAUGUCUUCCGAGGAGGUUUCCCAAUAAAAUUUAUUGUGUUUAAUUUAUGACACACAAUGUAAGAAGAAUGGAAUGCUUUUCUGUUAGGAUUUGCAUUGAUAAUGAAAGGUUACCAUAGUGCCGGGCUGCUUUUACCAAAUUUGCCAAAUUCUGAAGGGAAUGCCAAUUAGAAGGCGGUAAUGUUUCUCACUGCAACAGAUUGAGACCAAUACCUGGUGGUGAGGACCCGUCGCUGUUGGCUGGACCCUACUUCUAAUUGGAGAGAAGGCAAAUGCUAGAUCAAACUGAGUGUUUACGAAGUGAUAUCAAUCAUUCCCAGGAAUGGCCACACCCCGAGAAAGCUGAGGAAGUGAUUCAAUCUUUCUGAGGUCAUCUUUUCUAUUAGUUAUCGGGGUAGCCAAAAGUCUGAAAACGCUCACAUUUUGCUCUCUUUAGGAAAAAACAACAUUGAUUUUAGAGGCUUUUGUUAUGGAGGCCAGGGGGAUUUUCCCACUGCAGCAAAGAGGAAGCUGGGUUUGGACUGGGAAGCCAGACUUUUCUUGGCCUGAGUUACUCACUUGAAUGGGAUUCUGGUUUGCCCCCUCCUCACCUCUCCAGCCCCCAAGCAGCUAGAAGCCCCACCUCCUCCCUUGGACCAUAUGGGGAAGCUGGCUCAGUGGCUGUUAUUCUACGGACUCUAAGUUCACACAGCUGUUCAUUCCCUGCUUAAUGUACCGGUAAUUACAGCAAAUGUGCUCUUCUCUUUUUCCAAUCAUGCAACUUUCUUCUAAUGGAAAAUGAUUUGUUUUUAACAACUUCCAUGCAUUUUGUUCUUUAAUAAGAAAGGGUGUCUCGUGGUACCGGGGGAUUGAAUUCUCUAUAAAAAGCAAAAGUCUCUGUAUCAGUUUCCAGCUCCAUAGGAGAGCUCCGUGGGACUGCCAAAAUUGGGAGGCGGGGGGAGACUUAAGUGGGUGUAACUAACUUGAUAUGAAUAGGUCAGUUGGGAAACAAAGAAAGCUCAUCGCCUUCUGCACGUGGAGGUGGUGAAAGAACAUUUUUAAAAAAUGGGAAACUGGGAAAAAUCAAAAGUACAAAUUGAGCUCUUGUUUCAUGAUCCAAAUUCAAUGUGCGCUCAAAGGGUUUUUAAAACAAAUAUCUGAAGAGCUGUUCACUUAUCUUGGUUCUCUCUUUUGGAGCACGUAAAUGUCUUGCUUUGAUGGUUGGGUUGGGUGGAGACUCAAAGGCUAGCAAGGGAUGGAUCUUUCCCUUGAGCCACGCCAAGCUCUGGGGCACAGAUCAAACGUGUGUGUUCACAUUAUCAUUUCAUUUGUGGAUAAAAUAUAUCACCCUUGGAAUCUCUGCCCUUACAGCUCCCUAAAUGGCACUGGGAAUCAUUUCAAGGGGAUCAUUUUUUAAAGCAAAACUUUUCCAACUCAGAAUACUUUAUUCCGGGGCUUUUAUUAAAAAAAAAAAAAUUAGUUAAGCAACAGUAGUAGCAAAGAAAACCAAAUCAAAUCACUGUGUGUGGAUGGAAAUGCUAGUUCUAUACAACACAUGAAGCUAAUUUGAUCUGAAGGAUGAUAGCCAAAUGAAUGUUUCCUUUACAUGAGAAUUCAGAAUUCAAGGAAGUUGAAAGCAUGAUAGACUAUGCUUGCAAAUCAAAUAUGACUCAUUUGACUUUUUAAGGAUUCAUAGAAUUUAAGAUUUAGCUGAAGUUAUAAAAGAGGUAUUCUGAGCCCCAAAUCCUUCAGUGUUAAAAUGUAUCCAUAUCUCCUAGGGCAUUAAUUUUAUUACGUGCAUAUUCCCUUUACACUAAUAAUGGAGAGUAGCAAGAUGCUUGCCAGAAAUCACCGGUCUUCUGCUCCGUCCCUCUUAUCUAGCUCCCCCUCCAGAAUUCUUGCAUUUUUUCUCAGUAGUUCCUUCAGAAAUUUGAUGACACCAAAGUGAAGAAAUUUAAAAUACUCAUGUUGGAAGUUGAAAGUAAGUGGCUUCUAAAUUUACAAUAAGAGCAUUGGCAAGACAGUUGAUUUCCUCAAGAAGCACCACAGUCAAGGCAGCAGUGAUGAAGCACUUUUGUUCCUCUGAAGUCUUUAGUUAGAAGCUCCACAUGUGGCAAACUCCAGCGAGGGGGUCUGUGUUUCCUCCCCAUGAAUGCAGUGCAUGGGUCUGUUUGAUUUCACCCUUUAGGAAAUCAUUGUUUCCGGCUUUAUGGAAAGUGAAAAUUCUACCAAAUAUAAUUAAGCGAGUGUUGAGAAUGAGACUCUCUGGAAUUAGUAGCAAGACUCUAACCCAGGUGUCUAUCUUACCUCAGAUUCUAUUUCUUCGGACGAUUACAUCUGUAGCUUUGAGAUUUUAUUUUCGAAGCUUUAAGUUAUUUUGAUAUCCAUUAGACCAUCAAAACUAUAAAUAAGAUCUGAUGAAUGUCAGAGUAAGAAGUCGUAGGAUAAACAAUUGUCCUCAUCCUCCGUAUUCGUUCAGCAAAUACUGUUUUGUCUUUUCCAGCUUUAUUGGGGAAUAACUGACAAAUUUGUAUAUAUUUAAAAUGUACAAUGUGAUGAUUUGAUAAACAUUCUGAAGGAUUACCACAAUCAAGUUCAUUAGCACAUCCAUCACCUCACACAGUUACCUUUUAGUAUGUAUAUAAUGAGAAUGAUUAAUUAAGAUCUGCUCUUUUUGCAAAUUUUAAAUACGCAAUACAGUAUUAUUAACUAUAGUCACCAUGGUAUAGAUUGGAUUCCCAGGACCUAUCAGUUUUAUAACUUAAACUGUUUCUUUUGACCAACACCUCCCCAUUUCCUCCAUCCCUAGUCCCUGGCGACAACCAUUUUACUCUGUUUCUAUGAGUUCAAUUUUUUUAUAUUGCACAUAUAAAUGAUAUCUUGCAGUAUUUGUCCUUCUCUGUCUCGUUUAUUUCACUUAACAUAAUACCCUCCAGUUGCAUCCAUGACUUGGCAAACAACAGGAUUUCUUUCACUGUGUUUUAAAGGCGAAUACCAUUCCAUUGUAUUUAUGUCACGUCUUCUUUAUCCAUUCAUCUGUUGACAAAUGCUUAGGUUAAAUUGCCAAAAUCAGCUAUUGUGAAUAAUGUUGCAAUACACAUGGAAGUACAUUUUUCAAGAUAAUGACUUUUCUUUUCCUUUGGGUACAUACCCAGAAGUGGGAUUGCUGGGUCAUAUGUUAGUUCUAUUUUUAAUUUCUUAAGGAAGCUCCAUACUGUUUUACAUAGUGGCUGCACCAGUUUGCAUUCCCACCAACAUUACACACAGGUUCCCUUUUCUCCACAUCCUCGCCAGCAUUUGUUAUCUCUUUUUGGUAAUAGACAUCCUAAUAGAUGUGAAGUAAUAUCUCACUUUGGGUUUUAUUUGCACUUCCCUGAUGGUAAGUGAUGUUGAGCACUUUUUCAUGUAACUGUUGGCCAUUUCUAUGUCUUCUUUGGAAAAAUGUCUAUUCAGGUAUUUUGCCCAUUUUAAAACAGACUUAUUUUGUUUUGUUUUGUUUUGUUUUAAUUGAUUUGCUAUUGAGUUGGAUAAGUUCCUCAUGUAUUUAGACAUUAACCCCUCCCCAGGCAUAUUAUUUGCAAAUACCAUUCCCAUUCCAUUGGCUGCCUUUUCGUUUUAUUGAUUGUCUUCUUUGCUUGGGGAACAUCUCAGAUGGUAUCCCCUUUUUAGGGGCCAAUAAUUCAACAGUGAACAAAACAGACAAAAAUCUGCCUCAUGCAGGUUACAAUUUAGCAAGAAGAAACAGACAAAAUAUAUCAUUAAAAAAUAGGUUAAAUAGCAAUAAAAGCCAAGAAAAGAAAGUAUUGUUAAAAAAAAAAAGACCAAAAGCGAUGGAUUACAAUUUUACAUGAGGUGGCAGAGAAGACCUCACUGAUAGUGACUUAUAGCAUGUAUUUGAAGAAAGUAGGUUACAUACUCUAUGGCUAUCUGAGAGAGCUGUCCAGGCAAAGGGAAUAGGCAAUGCAAAGGUCCUGGGGAGGUAUAGAUCUAGAGUGUUCAAAGAGUAGCAAGGAGGCCAGGGUGCCUGGAGUGCACAAUGGGGCAGAUGUUAGGAAACAAGGUCAGAAAAGUAGGAGGGAGCCUGGUCAUGCAAAGCCAUAGUUUAUUAAAGGACGCUAGUUCUUACUUUGAGAUUUGGGAAGCCUUUGGAGACUUUUAAGCAGAAAAGGGACAGAAUCCAACAUACCUUUUAACAAGAUCAUUUGGGCUAUUAUGUUGAGAAUUGAUUCAAGGACAGCAAGGGGCAAAGCUGACCCCAGUCAAGGAGCUGUUAUAAUAAAGAGGCCAAGGUGGAAAAGCAGAACCGGUAGAUAUUAAGGGAGGUCCUACCGCACACCAGGCACUCUUGUAGACCUUGUGGAUAUAGCAGGGGAAAAACUGAGGCUCUGCUCCUAUGGGGUUGGCAUUCCUCUGAGAGGAACCAGACAAUUAACAAAUAAACCAAUGUAUAUAUAAAAUAUCAAGUGGUGAUAAGUUCUAUUGAAAGAAACCCAAAAGGAACGCUGGAACAUGUUCCCCAGGAACAACCCAGCUUAUGAUGUCAAAUACCUACAGAUAAAAGAAUGCCUGCAAAGAGGAGACGGGAAAAGCAAGUUGUGGUGUAAUCAAUCAGGGGAUAUUAUGCAGCAAUGAAAACGAAUGGUUGUAACUAUAUGAAACAUCGCAGGUGGAUCUUAGCAUUAUAAAUAUCACUGAAAAUAAGUUCAUAGAUAUUAAAAACGUCACGGUGCAUUUUUCAUAAAGGCAAGCACAUGUACAAGCUAAACAUAUACUUUUAAGGGGAUACACGUAGAUGUGUUAAAUAAUAUAAAGUAACUUUUCAAAAAUUGAUACUAUAAGAUUUGGGAUUGCAAUUAUCUUGGAUAAGGGGAGGCUAGGAAAUGCUUGGAGUGAUCCCAUAGGGUUCUGUGAGUGUUCAAGCUUUCAUGUUGGAUGUUGGACUCACGAGUUUAUAUUUGAAGGGAAAAAAAAAGAAGAAAGGAAAGAAAGAAAGGAGGGAGAAAGGAACGUAGGGAGAGAGGGAGGCACUCACAGGAGUUAAAACGGAGUGUAUGUCAUGAAGCAAAUAUUAUGGUAGAUCUGAUUUUAUGCCCCUGGGGUAAAGGGUUGGGGAGAGUUAUCAGGUAGUUGUUUGUAGUUUGUUUACUUGUUUUUUGGUAGAGUUGCUAAGGAAGCCCUCUGUAAGGAAAUGACAUGUGAGCAGAGACGUGGAUGGAUUGAGGAAGAAGUAAAAAAAAAAAAAAAAAAAAA